rnacentral:rRNA from 1 species
AACGUAGGUUCCGAGCGUUAUCCGGAUUUACUGGGCGUAAAGCGCGUUCAGGCGGUUUGGCAAGUCGGGCAUGAAAUCUCUCGGCUCAACCGGGAGAGGUUGUCCGAUACUGCUGGACUUGAGGGCAGUAGAGGGUGGUGGAAUUCCGGGUGUAGUGGUGAAAUGCGUAGAUAUCCGGAGGAACACCAGUGGCGAAGGCGGGUCUCUGGGCAACAACUGACGCUGAGGAGCGAAAGCGUGGGGAGCGAACAGG